rnacentral:lncRNA from 1 species
UCAAAACAAUAAAGAUUUCUGUUGACUGUUUUUUAAAGUUUCCAAGUAAUUAGAGAUUCUUUGGGUCUUUUGAGAGGCUAUAUAUAGUUGUAAUUCUGGAGUAGCAGAGGCACGUUUUUCUUCCCACAUAGUUCACCAUCUAAUUUGAGAGUUUGUUUCGUUUUCUUUUGUUUUAGUGAUUGAAAGGCAUGAAUAUGAGUGACUAAUUUCUUAGUUCAGUUCAA